UGAGUAACACGUAUCCAACCUGCCGACAACACUGGGAUAGCCUUUCGAAAGAAAGAUUAAUACCGGAUGGCAUAAUUAUUCCGCAUGGGAUAAUUAUUAAAGAAUUUCGGUUGUCGAUGGGGAUGCGUUCCAUUAGGCAGUUGGCGGGGUAACGGCCCACCAAACCUACGAUGGAUAGGGGUUCUGAGAGGAAGGUCCCCCACAUUGGAACUGAGACACGGUCCAAACUCCUACGGGAGGCAGCAGUGAGGAAUAUUGGUCAAUGGACGAGAGUCUGAACCAGCCAAGUAGCGUGAAGGAUGACUGCCCUAUGGGUUGUAAACUUCUUUUAUACGGGGAUAAAGUGAGCCACGUGUGGCUUUUUGUAUGUACCGUAUGAAUAAGGAUCGGCUAACUCCGUGCCAGCAGCCGCGGUAAUACGGAGGAUCCGAGCGUUAUCCGGAUUUAUUGGGUUUAAAGGGAGCGUAGGCGGGUUGUUAAGUCAGUUGUGAAAGUUUGCGGCUCAACCGUAAAAUUGCAGUUGAUACUGGCGACCUUGAGUGCA
rnacentral:rRNA from 1 species